rnacentral:rRNA from 1 species
AUUGAACGCUGGCGGCAGGCCUAACACAUGCAAGUCGAGCGGAUGAAGGGAGCUUGCUCCUGGAUUCAGCGGCGGACGGGUGAGUAAUGCCUAGGAAUCUGCCUGGUAGUGGGGGAUAACGUCCGGAAACGGGCGCUAAUACCGCAUACGUCCUGAGGGAGAAAGUGGGGGAUCUUCGGACCUCACGCUAUCAGAUGAGCCUAGGUCGGAUUAGCUAGUUGGUGGGGUAAAGGCCUACCAAGGCGACGAUCCGUAACUGGUCUGAGAGGAUGAUCAGUCACACUGGAACUGAGACACGGUCCAGACUCCUACGGGAGGCAGCAGUGGGGAAUAUUGGACAAUGGGCGAAAGCCUGAUCCAGCCAUGCCGCGUGUGUGAAGAAGGUCUUCGGAUUGGAAAGCACUUUAAGUUGGGAGGGAGGGCAGUAAGUUAAUACCUUGCUGUUUUGACGUUACCAACAGAAUAAGCACCGGCUAACUUCG